UACGAAGGGGGCUAGCGUUGUUCGGAAUCACUGGGCGUAAAGGGCGCGUAGGCGGCUUUUCAUGUCGGGGGUGAAAGCCUGUGGCUCAACCACAGAAUUGCCUUCGAUACUGUUAGGCUUGAGACCGGAAGAGGUGAGUGGAACUGCGAGUGUAGAGGUGAAAUUCGUAGAUAUUCGCAAGAACACCAGUGGCGAAGGCGGCUCACUGGUCCGGUUCUGACGCUGAGGCGCGAAAGCGUGGGGAGCAAACAGG
rnacentral:rRNA from 1 species